rnacentral:rRNA from 1 species
UACGUAGGGUGCAAGCGUUAUCCGGAAUUAUUGGGCGUAAAGAGCUCGUAGGCGGUUUGUCGCGUCUGCCGUGAAAGUCCGGGGGCUCAACUCCGGAUCUGCGGUGGGUACGGGCAGACUAGAGUGAUGUAGGGGAGACUGGAAUUCCUGGUGUAGCGGUGAAAUGCGCAGAUAUCAGGAGGAACACCGAUGGCGAAGGCAGGUCUCUGGGCCACUACUGACGCUGAGAAGCGAAAGCAUGGGGAGCGAACAGG